rnacentral:rRNA from 1 species
UACGAAGGGGGCUAGCGUUGCUCGGAAUCACUGGGCGUAAAGGGUGCGUAGGCGGGUUUUUAAGUCAGAGGUGAAAUCCUGGAGCUCAACUCCAGAACUGCCUUUGAUACUGAAAGUCUUGAGUAUGGGAGAGGUGAGUGGAACUGCGAGUGUAGAGGUGAAAUUCGUAGAUAUUCGCAAGAACACCAGUGGCGAAGGCGGCUCACUGGCCCAUUACUGACGCUGAGGCACGAAGGCCAGGGGAGCAAACGGG